rnacentral:rRNA from 1 species
GACGAACGCUGGCGGCGUGCUUAAUACAUGCAAGUCGAACGGAGAGGCCCUGCUUUUGUGGGGUGCUCGAGUGGCGAACGGGUGAGUAACACGUGAGUAACCUGCCCUUGACUUUGGGAUAACUUCAGGAAACUGGGGCUAAUACCGGAUAGGAGCUCCUGCUGCAUGGUGGGGGUUGGAAAGUUUCGGCGGUUGGGGAUGGACUCGCGGCUUAUCAGCUUGUUGGUGGGGUAGUGGCUUACCAAGGCUUUGACGGGUAGCCGGCCUGAGAGGGUGACCGGCCACAUUGGGACUGAGAGACGGCCCAGACUCCUACGGGAGGCAGCGGUGGGGAAUAUUGCACAAUGGGCGGAAGCCUGAUGCAGCAACGCCGCGUGCGGGAUGACGGCCUUCGGGUUGUAAACCGAUUUCGCCUGUGACGAAGCGUGAGUGACGGUAAUGGGUAAAGAAGCACCGGCUAACUACGUG